UAGGGUUACACCUUUUAGAAUUUUCUAGCAGGUUUUCCAGUUCUUGCUGGAAGAGCCACA
rnacentral:snRNA from 1 species